rnacentral:rRNA from 1 species
UACGUAGGGUGCAAGCGUUGUCCGGAAUUAUUGGGCGUAAAGAGCUCGUAGGCGGUUUGUUGCGUCGGCUGUGAAAUCCCGAGGCUCAACCUCGGGUCUGCAGUCGAUACGAGCAAACUAGAGUGUUGCAGGGGAGACUGGAAUUCCUGGUGUAGCGGUGAAAUGCGUAGAGAUGUGGAGGAACACCGAUGGCGAAGGGCAGCCCCCUGGGUCA